CCUACGGGAGGCAGCAGUGAGGAAUAUUUGUCAAUGGACGAGAGUCUGAACCAGCCAAGCAGCGUGAAGGAUGACUGCUCUAUGGAUUGUAAACUUCUUUUAUAAAGGAAUAAAACGAGGCACGUGUGCCUGUUUGCAUGUACUUUAUGAAUAAGGAUCGGCUAACUCCGUGCCAGCAGCCGCGGUAAUACGGAGGAUCCGAGCGUUAUCCGGAUUUAUUGGGUUUAAAGGGAGCGUAGGUGGGUUGUUAAGUCAGUUGUGAAAGUUUGGGGCUCAACCGUAAAAUUGCAAUUGAUACUGGCAGUCUUGAGUACAGUAGAGGUAGGCGGAAUUCGUGGUGUAGCGGUGAAAUGCUUAGAUAUCACGAAGAACCCCGAUUGCGAAGGCAGCUUACUGAACUGUAACUGACAUUGAGGCUCGAAAGUGUGGGUAUCGAACAGGAUUAGAUACCCCUGUAGUC
rnacentral:rRNA from 1 species